AGCGAACGCUGGCGGCAGGCUUAACACAUGCAAGUCGAGCGCCCCGCUAGGGGCGCGGCCGACGGGAGAGUAACACGUGGGAACAUACCUUUUGGUUCGGAACAACUGAGGGACACUUCAGCUAAUACCGGAUAAGCCCUUACGGGGAAAGAUUUAUCGCCGAAAGAUUGGCCCGCGUCUGAUUAGCUAGUUGGUGAGGUAACGGCUCACCAAGGCGACGAUCAGUAGCUGGUCUGAGAGGAUGAGCAGCCUCACUGGGACUGAGACACGGCCCAGACUCCUACGGGAGGCAGCAGUGGGGAAUAUUGGACAAUGGGGGCAACCCUGAUCCAGCCAUGCCGCGUGAGUGAUGAAGGCCUUAGGGUUGUAAAGCUCUUUUGCCCGGGAAGAUAAUGACGGUACCGGGAGAAUAAGCCCCGGCUAACUUCGUG
rnacentral:rRNA from 1 species